rnacentral:lncRNA from 1 species
UUGAGUAUUGCCUGUCUUCCAUGCACGACGCCGGAUGCGCGCUCAAUUAUAUUCAUCAUCUCGGGUUUUAACCGGGGCACUAUCGGAGUAGUUGAUUGCUACCAGAGGGAUGACGAAGCUGAGUCGUGGAAUCUAGAAAAGGAAUGGAAUUAUUGAACAAUGCCAAGUACAUCCAGUCCCACCACACCGCAAGAAUAUACAUUUCUGGCGUGGAUAGUGGCCAUGAUCAUCCAAAAGGCGCGAGGCAUGGGCCGCGGCAGUCUUGUCCUCCUAUCCUCGAUCGAUCGAUGUCGAUGGAUGCAGCGCAGCGAGGCGAUGGAGCCAUUAUAUUGCCUCCAAUCUUGCUAUUGGGCAGGGAAAACAUAAUCAUGGCCGCCAAAUAGCCAUUUUGCAGGAAAGUUAGAAAAUCCAUCGCGCCCGGGCAGCUGAUGUGGGGUUUCUCCCCUUCCUUUCCUCCUUGCACAGCAACAGCUGCGCCCAGUGGCAGCCAUGGCUAGAACCCAUUUCCUGUUAUAAUAAAAGAAAAAGGAGGGUAAAAAAUCGUUCACGGUCGAGUCUCCCACCAGAUCGGCCAUCUUUUCAAAGGAUCAUCAUCGCCAUUGAUCGAUCGUUAUCGUGUCUUGUCAUUCGAGCCGCAGGAAAAGCAUGGCCAAAUUCGAGGAUAAAAUAAAAUCGGAUGACGCAAGAGAUGAUCACGUACUCCUCCUCCACGUAGAUUGACGACGGAUCAAGCAAGCUCCGGCCGCCCCGGCGGCAAGAAUCUGCUAAACGUGCAUGCCGCACGCGCGCCUCUCGUCGAGCUGCACGCCUACUAGUUAUCUGCUGCUAAUCCCUUCCUGGGCGACGCAGCUUUCAGAUAAGCUUCCAUCUCCGGGUACGGCCAAGAGACCACCAGAGGGCUAAAAAAGGGAUAAGAAAAAGGAAAAGGCGUGCUAAUCAUAAGCUUUGUGGUGCCGCCCCGGCGAUCUAUAUGUGAUGACGAAUACGAUAGCAAGGCGGGACCUGUGGCGCACCGCAGGUGCUCCGGGGUCCCGGCCGCCGGCGGCUGGGCCACGUCCGGUCGCGCUAGUAGCAGUAAAUGAUUGCACCCCACUUCCAAUUCCAACAGGAGGAUAGGACAGGAGGGUCCACGAGAGCACAGGGCUCUUGCCG